UACGAAGGGUGCAAGCGUUGUUCGGAUUUACUGGGCGUAAAGGGUUCGUAGGCGGGUAGACAAGUCAAGAGUGAAAUCCCUGAGCUUAACUCAGGACGUGCUUUUGAAACUGUUUAUCUUGAGUGUUGGAGAGGGUGGUGGAAUUGCUGGUGUAGGAGUGACAUCCGUAGAGAUCAGCAGGAACAUCAGAGGCGAAAGCGACCGCCUGGCCGAACACUGACGCUGAGGUGCGAAAGCGUGGGGAGCAAACAGG
rnacentral:rRNA from 1 species